rnacentral:lncRNA from 1 species
GGCUCACUUGCAACUGUUUGGAAAAGAGAGAGAGAGGCCUUUGAAAAUAGUGAAGGUGCACAGUGUUUCAAAAUAUAGGCAGUACGACUGUUCCUGGCCCGUUUUUGAUAAAGACUCGGGAACGGGACUGAGGAAAGGAAACAAUGGUAUAUAUCUUAAUUGAAAACGUAAGGCAGACGCACCUGACGGAGGGACAGUCAGUAAGGACAGGUAGCGCUGGGAAGGUAGUCUCAAGAUUUCAAAGUUUAUCAAAGAAGGUGGGAGGAAGUACAAAAUAAGGGGUGAGACAGGACAUGGUACAAAUACAUAGAAAUACAGCAAGGAAGGUAGGGAAGCGUCACGCGUGUCUAGACUCUAGUUGUUACAUUAGCCGCCUACCAGCAGCCUGUCUUGCCACACCACAAUUACCAGUGAGGUCAUAUUCCGGCAACUUCUCAAUUCCUGCACCAGAAAGGCAGACUACCGAAGGAAGGGAGGAUGACAAGGACUAGAGGAUGAGUUUGAGGACCACCAGGGGAAGACGGGAGCACCAUCUCAAACUACAAGGUUGAUAAUGUUGUCCAGAACUCUGCACACAAUGCCUGGUGUGGGAAGCUGGAAGAAGGUGACAAGUUAGGACACAGGAUAAACCAAGGAGGAGCAAGUGAACACCAAGGAAUUUACAGGCAAGAACUUUAGUUAAAUUUGACUAGUUCUGGAGUCUUGAUUUAUUGCUGAAGCUUGAAUAUACUUGUUGAUAAUGUAGAAACUAUUACUGUGAUAUAGUUGGUGUAUUAUUAGUAUACAGUGCUGGUCGUCUAGUAAGAAUAUGUCUCCAUUAUGAAAGCAACAUGCUCAUAUGAUAAAAGAAUCACCCUCAAGUAUAUGGCAUGAAUUCAGCAAGACCAAAGCAAAGGUAUGCCUCUGGGAGGGGGUGAAGCUUAGUCUGGAGUCCCCACACACAAUUUCUGUCUCAUCAGUGGCACAGUGUGAGGUAGAUUUUAAAGUGAUUUUUU